rnacentral:rRNA from 1 species
AGAGUUUGAUCCUGGCUCAGGAUGAACGCUGGCGGCGUGCUUAACACAUGCAAGUCGAGCGAAGCACUUUUGCGGAUUUCUUCGGAUUGAAGCAACUGUGACUGAGCGGCGGACGGGUGAGUAACGCGUGGGUAACCUGCCUCAUACAGGGGGAUAACAGUUGGAAACGGCUGCUAAUACCGCAUAAGCGCACAGUACCGCAUGGUACCGUGUGAAAAACUCCGGUGGUAUGAGAUGGACCCGCGUCUGAUUAGCUAGUUGGUGGGGUAACGGCCUACCAAGGCGACGAUCAGUAGCCGACCUGAGAGGGUGACCGGCCACAUUGGGACUGAGACACGGCCCAAACUCCUACGGGAGGCAGCAGUGGGGAAUAUUGCACAAUGGGGGAAACCCUGAUGCAGCGACGCCGCGUGAAGGAAGAAGUAUCUCGGUAUGUAAACUUCUAUCAGCAGGGAAGAAAAUGACGGUACCUGACUAAGAAGCCCCGGCUAACUACGUGCCAGCAGCCGCGGUAAUACGUAGGGGGCAAGCGUUAUCCGGAUUUACUGGGUGUAAAGGGAGCGUAGACGGCAUGGCAAGCCAGAUGUGAAAGCCCGGGGCUCAACCCCGGGACUGCAUUUGGAACUGUCAGGCUAGAGUGUCGGAGAGGAAAGCGGAAUUCCUAGUGUAGCGGUGAAAUGCGUAGAUAUUAGGAGGAACACCAGUGGCGAAGGCGGCUUACUGGACGGUAACUGACGUUGAGGCUCGAAAGCGUGGGGAGCAAACAGGAUUAGAUACCCUGGUAGUCCACGCC